rnacentral:rRNA from 1 species
CAAGCGGUGGAGCAUGUGGUUUAAUUCGAUGCAACGCGAAGAACCUUACCUGGCCUUGACAUACUAAGAACUUUCUAGAGAUAGAUUGGUGCCUUCGGGAACUUAGAUACAGGUGCUGCAUGGCUGUCGUCAGCUCGUGUCGUGAGAUGUUGGGUUAAGUCCCGCAACGAGCGCAACCCUUUUCCUUACUUGCCAGCAUUUCGGAUGGGAACUUUAAGGAUACUGCCAGUGACAAACUGGAGGAAGGCGGGGACGACGUCAAGUCAUCAUGGCCCUUACGGCCAGGGCUACACACGUGCUACAAUGGUCGGUACAGAGGGUUGCUACACAGCGAUGUGAUGCUAAUCUCAAAAAGCCGAUCGUAGUCCGGAUUGGAGUCUGCAACUCGACUCCAUGAAGUCGGAACCGCUAGUAAUCGCGGAUCAGAAUGCCGCGGUGAAUACGUUCCCGGGCCUUGUACACACC